rnacentral:rRNA from 1 species
AAUACUGAGUGGCAGACGGGUGAGUAACAUGUGGGAAUCUGCCUUGUGGUUCAGGACAACAUUGGGAAACCGAUGCUAAUACUGGAUAAGCCCUUACGGGGAAAGUUUUAAUGCCAUAAGAUGAGCCCGCAUUUGAUUAGUUAGUUGGUGAGGUAAUGGCUCACCAAGACAAUGAUCAAUAGCUGAUCUGAGAGGAUGAUCAGCCACACUGGGACUGAGACACGGCCCAGACUCCUACGGGAGGCAGCAGUGGGGAAUCUUGCACAAUGGAGGAAACUCUGAUGCAGCGAUGCCGCGUGAGUGAAGAAGGCCUUUGGGUUGUAAAGCUCUUUUGUAGGGGAAGAUAAUGACUGUACCCUAAGAAUAAGGUCCGGCUAACUUCGUGCCAGCAGCCGCGGUAAUACGAAGGGACCUAGCGUAGUUCGGAAUUACUGGGCGUAAAGCGCGCGUAGGCCGUUGAGUUAGUUAAUUGUGAAAUCCCAAAGCUUAACUUUGGAACUGCAAUUAAAACUGCUCGACUAGAGUUUGAUAGAGGAAAGCGGAAUACAUAGUGUAGAGGUGAAAUUCGUAGAUAUUAUGUAGAACACCAGUUGCGAAGGCGGCUUUCUGGAUCAACACUGACGCUGAGGCGCGAAAGUAUGGGUAGCAAAGAGGAUUAGAUACCCUCGUAGUCCAUACCAUAAACGAUGAUUGCUAGAUGUUGGAAAUUUAUUUUCAGUAUCGCAGCUAACGCAUUAAGCAAUCCGCCUGGGGAGUACGACCGCAAGGUUAAAACUCAAAUGAAUUGACGGGGACCCGCACAAGCGGUGGAGCAUGUGGUUUAAUUCGAAGAUACGCGCAGAACCUUACCACCCUUGACAUGUCUGUCGCGAGUUUAGGAAACUAGACUUUCGGUCGCCGGACAGACACAGUGCUGCAUGGCUGUCGUCAGCUCGUGUCGUGAGAUGUGGGUAGUCCGCACGAGCGCACCCUACUUUAGUGCAUCAGUCAUGCUGGGCACUCUGAAGACUGCAGUGAUAGCUGAGAGGUGGGAG